GUGGGUAUAGCUCAGUUGGUUAGAGCGCCAGAUUGUGGCUCUGGAGGGUCCGGGGUUCGAAUCCCUGUGCGCUCACCA
rnacentral:tRNA from 1 species